rnacentral:rRNA from 1 species
UACGGGGGGGGCAAGCGUUGUUCGGAAUCACUAGGCGUAAAGCGCAGGUAGGAGGUUUAGUAAGUCUGUUGUGAAAGCUCCCGGCUUAACUGGGAGAGGUCAACGGAAACUGCUAGGCUAGAGUGCGGUAGAGGUAGCUGGAAUUCCCGGUGUAGCGGUGAAAUGCGUAGAUAUCGGGAGGAAUACCUAUGGCGAAAGCAGGCUACUGGACCGUCACUGACUCUGAUCUGCGAAAGCUAGGGGAGCAAACAGG